rnacentral:misc_RNA from 1 species
GAUGAAGAACGUAGCGAAAUGCGAUAAGUAAUGUGAAUUACAGAAUUCAGUGAAUCAUCGAAUCUUUGAACGCACCUUGCACCCUUUGGCAUUCCGAAGGGUAUGCUCGUUUGAGUGUCAUUGUACUCUCACACUCUCCGAUCCUAUGGAUUCGGGGAGCGGUGGACUUGGGUGUUGCUGCCUUUCCUUGUGGCUCACCUCAAAUGUGUCAGUGCACCUCUUGGUUGGACAUAGUACGGCGUGAUAAGUGUCUUCGCCGGCACCUCGCAAGAGGGUGGCCGAUCGGGAGCUCUGUGCUUUCAAACCGUCUUCGGACAAUUUCUGACAACUUGACCUCAAAUCGAGUAGGACUACCCGCUGAACUUAAGCAUAUCAAUAAGCGGAGGA